UACGGGGGGGGCUAGCGUUGUUCGGAAUUACUGGGCGUAAAGGGCGCGUAGGCGGCUUGCCAAGUCAGGGGUGAAAUCUUUCGGCUCAACCGGAAAAGUGCCUUUGAUACUGGCGAGCUAGAGGGAGGUAGGGGUGCGUGGAACUUCUGGUGGAGCGGUGAAAUGCGUAGAUAUUCGCAAGAACACCAGUGGCGAAGGCGGCUCACUGGCCCGGUACUGACGCUGAGGUGCGAAAGCGUGGGGAGCAAACAGG
rnacentral:rRNA from 1 species